rnacentral:rRNA from 1 species
AAACUUUCANCAACGGAUCUCUAGGUUCUCGCAUCGAUGAAGAACGCAGCGAAAUGCGAUAAGUAGUGUGAAUUGCAGAUUUCAGUGAAUCAUCGAAUCUUUGAACGCACAUUGCGCCCUUUGGUAACCCUUGGGCAUGCCUGUUUGAGAGUCAAA